rnacentral:rRNA from 1 species
AACGAACGCUGGCGGCAGGCUUAACACAUGCAAGUCGAACGCAUCCUUCGGGGUGAGUGGCAGACGGGUGAGUAACGCGUGGGAACGUGCCCUUCAGUUCGGGAUAACCCAGGGAAACUUGGGCUAAUACCGGAUACGUGCGAGAGCAGAAAGGUUUAUCGCUGAAGGAUCGGCCCGCGUCUGAUUAGCUAGUUGGUGGGGUAAUGGCCCACCAAGGCGACGAUCAGUAGCUGGUCUGAGAGGAUGAUCAGCCACAUUGGGACUGAGACACGGCCCAAACUCCUACGGGAGGCAGCAGUGGGGAAUAUUGGACAAUGGGCGCAAGCCUGAUCCAGCCAUGCCGCGUGAGUGAUGAAGGCCUUAGGGUUGUAAAGCUCUUUCGUCCGGGACGAUAAUGACGGUACCGGCAGAAGAAGCCCCGGCUAACUUCGUGCCAGCCGCCGCUGUAA